rnacentral:rRNA from 1 species
AGGGAAUAUUGCGCAAUGGGCGGAAGCCUGACGCAGCGACGCCGCGUGAGCGAAGAAGGCCUUCGGGUCGUAAAGCUCCGUCCUUGGGGAAGAAGGCGAAAGCUUGACGGUACCCAAGAAGAAAGCCCCGGCUAACUACGUGCCAGCAGCCGCGGUAAUACGUAGGGGGCGAGCGUUGUCCGGAAUUACUGGGCGUAAAGGGUGCGUAGGCGGCCUUUUAAGUCAGAUGUGAAAGGCUGCGGCUUAACCGCAGGACUGCAUUUGAAACUGGAAGGCUUGAGUGUCGGAGAGGGUAGUGGAAUUCCCAGUGUAGCGGUGAAAUGCGUAGAUAUUGGGAGGAACACCAGUGGCGAAGGCGACUACCUGGACGAUAACUGACGCUGAGGCACGAAAGCUAGGGGAGCAAAC